CCUACGGGAGGCUGCAGUGAGGAAUAUUGGUCAAUGGACGAGAGUCUGAACCAGCCAAGUAGCGUGAAGGAUGAUUGCCCUAUGGGUUGUAAACUUCUUUUAUAAAGGGAUAAAACGAUGCACGUUUGCCUGUUUGCAUGUACUUUAUGAAUAAGGAUCGGCUAACUCUGUGCCGGCAGCCGCGGUAAUACGGAGGAGCCGAGCGUUAUCCGGAUUUAUUGGGUUUAAAGGGAGCGUAGAUGGGUGGUUAAGUCAGUUGUGAAAGUUCGCGGCAAACGCGUAAAAGUGCAAUUGAUACUGGCAGUCUUGAGUACAGAUGAGGUAGGAGGAAUUCGUGGUGUAGCGGUGAAAUGCUUAGAUAUCACGAAGAACACCGAUUGCGAAGGCAGCUCACUGGACUGCAACUGACACUGAUGCACGAAAGUGUGGGUAUCAAACAGGAUUAGAUACCCGAGUAGUC
rnacentral:rRNA from 1 species